GGAAAGUUGCAAAGCACUUUGAAGAGAGAGUUAAAGAGGACGUGAAACCGGUAAGGUGGAAACGGAUAGAGUCGGCGUAUCAUUCAAUUAUUCAGUUACAUUAUUUUUAUGUUGUGACCUCUGAGCUCCAGAUUGGGACAGAGGGAAUCAGCAUAAUUUUUUGUGGUGCAUUUACUUGAUUGGUGCUUGGGGAUGUUUGAGGCAGAUUUGUUUCCGUCGUUUUGAGGCCAGCUUGCUGGUACCCAAACGGUGUUAGCAUUUUUUGUCUUGGGCAUUUGAGUAUGGCUCACGUGUAUUUAUUGGACAGAUCUGAGUGUAAGUUACGGUCGCAUGCGACACGUGCUUUUCAAUUAGUUCGGUCCAGUUAAUGCUCUCGUACUCGUUCCCCAUGUAAAAGCCGGUCAUCUAUCCGACCCGUCUUGAAACACGGACCAAGGAGUUUAUCGUGUGCGCAAGUUUUUGGGUGUUAAAAACUUAAAAGCGAAAUGAAAGUAAAUGACUCUUUAGAGUCUGAUGUGCGAUCUUGUAAAAAAGUGUAGCAUGGCCCCAUUCUAACUGUUUACAGUAGGGUGGCGGAAGAGCGUACGCGGUGAGACCCGAAAGAUGGUGAACUAUUCCUGAGCAGGACGAAGCCAGAGGAAACUCUGGUGGAAGUCCGAAGCGGUUCUGACGUGCAAAUCGAUCGUCUGACUUGGGUAUAGGGGCGAAAGACUAAUCGAACCAUCUAGUAGCUGGUUUCCUU
rnacentral:rRNA from 1 species